UUUAAUGUGUUUGGCAAUGGAAGGAAAAACAGGCCGUAGAAAUAAAGUAGUAGCCAAAUGUUUUCCCACAACCAACUGGGACAAUUGGCCAACUUUCUCCUCAUAUGGUGUGAGUAUCUUCUUUCUGUCCAAUCCAUUUACUUAUUACUAUCCAAAUCUAUGAUUCACUACUUGAAAAACGAACUAAGCUUGCUGUUAAGAUAUUAGGUUUUAGAGAAAUGCUAGCAACACUCUCUAUUAUUGGUUGAAAUUUAUUGAAAAUCACAAAUUUUGUGGGUCUCACCUCUCAUUUAAUGACUCACCUGAUUUUGUAGUUUUCAAUAAAUUUAAACCAAUGGAAAAGUGUGUGUUAGGAGGAGUGUGUUAGAGAGUGUGUUGCUAGCACUCCUCUAGGUUUUAUUAGGUUAUCAGUCUUAUUAGCAGGCUUGGGUUAGUAAUAGUAGUAGUAUUUAACCUUGUCAUUAGCAUAUAUAGGGCUACCAGGUCAGGGUAUUGCAAUAAUAUUUUAAGUUCAUUACCAUUAACCUACUUUCUCUUCCCUAACACUAGACCUAUAAUACUUAUCACUUACCAUGGGAGAAUAUAUGCGAGUCAAUACUCCCUUCCUCAAAAGUUUCAUCUUCAGGUCUUUAUCACCCCACACAACAUGCUCAUUAUACCUGGAUCAACAAGCAAAGACAAAUGUUUUUGGAAGAUCAAUAACAUAGUGGUUAAAAUAUGGGAGAGUUAGUGCAUAAAUAAAUACAAAGAAUUGAAGCCAACAUACCACUUCAUCAUUUCUUCUUCAGUUGCAGUUGAAGCAAUAAUAAAUGCCUGAAAUUGACAAGUGUAUUAGGAGGAACAAGUGCUUACAUACAAGUUAACAUUCCCACACCAGAAAAUAUAAAAAGGGUAGUUCAGUGCAUGAGGCUCCCCCUAUUGUUGAAUCUAAUGAGGGCCAGCUCUAGGAAGCAUUAUCCCAUAUCCAGGAAGGCCAAUUGUAAUACUAGAACCUGUGACCUUACCAUUACACAAGUGUCACACCUUUCACACUAGAGAAAAGAUACUCAACCAAAUUCACUGACAGCCAAACUUAAGUUCAAGCUUUAUAAAUGAGCCAAUCUAUUUGUGAACUAUUGAACUCCAGCUUGUUAAGUGCUCAAUCAAUCUCGUUCGAUUAGCCAAAUAAAAAAGUUCAAACUUAAAGUAGUAACUAGCUUAUUAUGUAUACCUAGAUUAUUAUAAAUUUAUCAUUUUGUUUAUUAUAUUUACUAGAAAUAUUAUAAUUUUAUUUCUUAUUGUCCUACCCAUAUCAUUUAUCUUAUUAUUUCAAUCAUCAAGAUUCAUAUUUUAAAUACACAACCAUAAACUUUCUUCAAACAAUUGACCAUUUCUAUCAUUAAAGAUUCCAUUUCUAAUCUCAAAUCAUCAUUAUAAAUACAAAAUUAUUCCACCUCCGGUCCUAUUUAUAAACCUAUUUAUAAAAAACCAAGUGAUAGUGUAAAAUACACUAUCACUUGUUUCUCAUAUAAAGGACCGAAGGUAGUAUUUUAUUUCUAUUUUUACUUCACCUAGUACAAAAUUAUGUUAAAUAAUAAAAUAUUAAAUUAAUAAAUAAACACUUUUUACAGAAUUUUGAUAAAAAAAAUAAUCAAACCAUAAACUAACUCAAAUAAGUCAACAAUCCCAAGCAUCAUAUAUUUUAAACAAGUCAAACUCAAAUUUUAAAUUUAACUUGUUUAAACCGUAAGCGAAGCUUGAGCAAUCUCUUUUUCCUCGCAAGUCAAACCUCAAUUUCAAGUGUUUAGCUUGUCUCACUUACACUCCUACAUACCGGUAUAAGAAAUCCUGUUUUCUGACAUACAAUCAAAGCAGAUAACUGAACAGGACAGGACAAAGAAUAAUAAAAUCCGGAAACUUACAGAUCUAUCAAAUUCCAACAUGAAGCAUCUUUUGACAUCUUCUUUUGUAGGUUUGCAACCACAGCGGUCACGUCUAGAAGUUAAGUCUGAGAAUUUAGCAUAUGUGUAAUGUAAAACAGCAGCCUCUUCCAAUUUGAUUUCACUAGCAUAAUUCAGAAGAACUAUCAGGGUAAUAACAAAAAAG
rnacentral:lncRNA from 1 species